GGCUAGAGCGGAGCCGGGAGGCGUCUCCUGCCUUUCGCAGCUGGGCUGGGGAGGAGCUGCGGGUGUCGCCGCUGUUCUUGCCACGUCCCCCGGGCGAAGGCGAGCCUGGCGGCAGCUGGGAGCGCCAGCACGUGCGCGCCGAUGUGUUGAACCAUCAUCCAACCGGUCAUUGACAUCUGUGGCAGGGGCAUCAUGAUUUCAUCGUACAGUGGCACGAUUAUUUUGCUUCCAGUUUCAUCAUUUGCACAAUGAUGUCAUCACAGCUUCUAACACCAGUGCAACCAGCAUGGCCCCUGCAUGGAUGUCUAUUUGCUUGUGGUGUGAGCUAGGUUUUUGGACAAAGCAAGGCUUUAGGAACAGAACAGUUGAAAGAGAACCUCCAGUCAAAGGUUUUUAUACAGGAACCCACCCAAAGCCAAAAGGGACGAGGCUGACCAGAAGAGGUGUACCUUGGUUUGUGCCUUUGACACCACUUUGCUUUGGUUCCCUUGACAAGAGGCCCGGGGAGGAA